rnacentral:rRNA from 1 species
CCUACGGGGGGCAGCAGUGGGGAAUAUUGCACAAUGGGGGAAACCCUGAUGCAGCGACGCCGCGUGAGUGAAGAAGUAUUUCGGUAUGUAAAGCUCUAUCAGCAGGGAAGAAAAUGACGGUACCUGACUAAGAAGCCCCGGCUAACUACGUGCCAGCAGCCGCGGUAAUACGUAGGUGGCAAGCGUUAUCCGGAUUUACUGGGUGUAAAGGGAGCGUAGGUGGCAUGGUAAGACAGAAGUGACAACCCGGGGCUCAACCCCGCGGA